rnacentral:misc_RNA from 1 species
GAUGAAGAACGCAGCGAAAUGCGAUAAGUAAUGUGAAUUGCAGAAUUCAGUGAAUCAUCGAAUCUUUGAACGCACAUUGCGCCCCCUGGUAUUCCGGGGGGCAUGCCUGUCCGAGCGUCAUUACAACCCUCAAGCUCAGCUUGGUAUUGGGCCCCGCCGACCCGGCGGGCCCUAAAGUCAGUGGCGGUGCCGUCCGGCUCCGAGCGUAGUAAUUCUUCUCGCUCUGGAGGUCCGGUCGUGUGCUCGCCAGCAACCCCCAAUUUUUUUCAGGUUGACCUUGGAUCAGGUAGGGAUACCCGCUGAACUUAAGCAUAUCAAUAAGCGGAGGA